ensembl:lncRNA
AAGAUGCAGGCUCUAGGCCUGACUGGCAGGAAGGGGAAUUCAACCUCUGCUGGGUCUCCUGUGGGCGUGUUUUGAGCAAUUUUGAUCCUCACCUGUGUAAGAGGCAGACUGGGGCAGGGCUUUGCUCAGGCCUCAGGCAAGCCUUGGGAGGCCUGCGUGAGCAUGCGUGGAUGUGUGCGCCGGUGUGUUUUGGGAGGGGCAGAGGCGCAGCAAUCCUGUUUCAGUCCUCCAGACACUCACAGAUUGCCUCCCUUUCUAAAAUUCCUUUACUUUGUUGUAAGGCAAAGUGAUAGCAAUAAUUAUUUUUGCUUCUUGAGUGCCUACUUGUGCUGGGCAUUAUUUAGCCCUGGAAAGAACCUGUCUUAUAUCACUGCUGUGUUCUCAGUGCCUAGAACAGUGCUUGGCACACAACAAGAACUCGGUGCAUAUUUACUGAAUGAAAAAAUAUGGACAGUUCACAAAAAAGGAAAUGCAAGUGAAUUUUACUUUCAAAUGUAUAUACGAAGCUGUUUCAUUGUUUCUAAUGGUGCCAUGAAUUUCCACUGGAUACCAUGUGCUGGAGUUCAUUUAACUGGUCCCCUAUCGAUGAACAUUUAUGUUGUUUCCAAUAGUGUGCUAUUACAAACACUGUUGCAUUCAUGGGGAAAGAAUAAUCUGCUCAACAAUGGUAUUGGAAGAAUUGGAUAUUCAAAUACAAAAAACUGAACCUUGACUGCUACCUCAACAUAAUCAGAAAUUAACUUGUCAUGGAUCACAGAUCUAAAUGUCAAGCCUAAGGCUGUCAAACUUCCAGAAGAAAACAUGGGAGAAAAUCUUUGUGUCCUUGGCUCAGGCAGAGAUUUUUUAGAUAUGACACAAAAAACUUCAGCCAUAAAGGAACCAAAUGACAAACUGGACUUCAUCAAAAUUAAAAAUUUCAGCUCUUCAGAGGACACCAUUAAAAGAAUGAAAAGACAAGGCACAGAAAAUAUUUGCAAAGCACAUAGCUGACAAGGGACUUAUAUCCAGAAUACAUAAAGAACUCUCAAAAGUGUAUGGUAAGAAAAACAGCCCUCUCCAGGCAGCCUGGUCCCUCGAGGGGCUGCGGCUUGUGUUCUCUUAGAGACCUGCUGCAAACAGUUAUGUCAUUCAUUCAUGCAACAAAUAUUUGUUGAGCAUCUACUCUGGGCCAGACUUGAUUCAGGUGCUGGGGAUACAGCAGUGUACAAAACAGUCAUGGAGCACUCAUUCUUGUAGGAGGAGAUGGGCAAAAACACGUGAACAGAUUGAUAUCUGAUAGUAAUCUACAAAGAGUUAAGUUUUCCAGAUAAUUCGCAUCUUUAAUUAACAUUUUCCAUGGCCACUGAGAAGGGACAGGAGCCUCAAUAACUUGAGAUAGUCUUUCAAGUUGGUAGACGUCCACAGGCACAUGAAGGCACUCUUUCUUCCAUCCUCAUUUAUCACAGAUAUUUGAUAACACACACUCCUUGAGUAUUGUCCUCGGAACUAGUGGCUGCCAAGCAAAGCAAAAUUUAAGCACCUUGAACGGAGAGUACAACACAUGAAUGUACUUCAGUGUGUUUAAAAAUCUAUGUCUAAAAUGGCCUAUGCGCAUCUAUAUUUUGCCAGAUUUCUUACAUACACCACAAUCAAGGACGCAUAGCAGGCAGCAUGAUUUAGGGUUUAACUCCUUGAUUUGGAACUCUUUAAUGUAGCCUUGCGUGUUUUGAUGCUAGAUGAUGACAUCUUUAGAUCACCCUCAGAAAGAUCAAGGUCCAUUUAGUUCAAGCCUUUAUUACUCACCUCGAGGCCAACCUAUGUGUCAUUCAUGGAAACAGAAACAUCACUUCCGAUCCUACCACUCUUCAGGUGCCAGGAGAUUCCCAGGGGAAAGCUGCUUCCCCAGGGGAAAAAAUAGAUGGUAAUGGCCUCUGUUUUUCUGUAGGCAUUGGCACAUGGUGUUUGGCUAGGAAAGCUGCUUGGGGAUUUAAAGUCUGCAGUUCCAACAGCACCUAGAUAUCACUUUAAAAAGGUUAGAAUUUAUUCCAAUUGCUACUUACGCUACGUGCACACCUCCUGAGUCUGGGUAUCCAAGAGCAGGAGCAGGCACCUUCCUGCUGACUUCCACUGACCCCUUGGGAAUGUCCAGUCUAAUGGACACAUGGCAAUUAUAUGAGAAGCCUCCACACUUAACUUAAGCCACGUGGGCCCAACCCAUCUAAUCCCUGCAAAGGUGAAUGUUUUGAUUAUCCCAGGAAAGACUGGAAGUGGAGACGCAAAAAGAGGGUUUUGGAGAUCUCUGGUAAUCAGUGACUACUUACCCCCUCCAUGGGGCCAUGCCGUCCGUAUGCUAUAUAGAACCACUUCCUUGGACUUGCACAUCUGUCUGUAUAGAGAAUCCCCUCAUUGGACUGGUAUGUCUCUGUGAUACAAGGGAACUACCUGGUGGUAAAUUAGCAUCUGCUUUCGUCACUUCUGUCCCCUUAUCCUCUUUUAUUUUUCUUUAUAGCACUUCUCAUUACCUGAAAAAUUGUUGCUUGUUUGUUCGUUUUUCUAUAAGUAUUUCCCCUCACUAAGAGCUCAGCUCCUCAGCAGCAGGGACUUUUAUUUGUUCACUAAUGUCCCCCCACUAUUUAGGACAGUGCCUGGCACAGAGUAAGUGCUCAAGAAAUAUUCUUGAAGGAAGAA